rnacentral:rRNA from 1 species
UACGGAGGGUGCAAGCGGUUAUCCGGAUUCACUGGGUUUAAAGGGUGCGUAGGCGGAUAGGGAAGUCCGUGGUGAAAUCCUGCAGCUUAACUGCAGAACUGCCGGUGGAUACUCUCUAUCUUGAAUAUCGUGGAGGUUAGCGGAAUAUGUCAUGUAGCGGUGAAAUGCUUAGAUAUGACAUAGAACACCCAUGCGAAGGCAGCUAACUACGCGAUCAUUGACGCUGAUGCACGAAAGCGUGGGGAUCAAACAGG